rnacentral:rRNA from 1 species
AUGAACGCUGGCGGCGUGCUUCACACAUGCAAGUCGAGCGAGAAGUUUUGAAAAGAUUCUUCGGAUGAAAUUUAAAAUGGAAAGCGGCGGACGGGUGAGUAACGCGUAGGCAACCUGCCCCAUACAAAGGGAUAGCAUUUGGAAACGAAUAUUAAUACCUUAUGAAACUUAACUAGUGCAUGCUAGGUAGGUCAAAGAUUUAUCGGUAUGGGAUGGGCCUGCGUCUGAUUAGCUAGUUGGUGAGGUAACGGCUCACCAAGGCGACGAUCAGUAGCCGACCUGAGAGGGUGAACGGCCACAUGGGAACUGAGACACGGUCCAAACUCCUACGGGAGGCAGCAGUGGGGAAUAUUGCACAAUGGGGGAAACCCUGAUGCAGCAACGCCGCGUGAACGAGGAAGGCCUUUGGGUCGUAAAGUUCUGUUCUAGGUGAUGAAAACUGACAGUAACCUAGGAGAAAGCCCCGGCUAACUCCGUG